UACGAAGGGUGCAAGCGUUAAUCGGAAUUACUGGGCGUAAAGCGUGCGUAGGCGGUUUCUUAAGUCUGCUGUGAAAGCCCCGGGCUCAACCUGGGAAUGGCGGUGGAUACUGAGGAGCUGGAGUACGGUAGAGGAAGGUGGAAUUCCCGGUGUAGCGGUGAAAUGCGUAGAGAUCGGGAGGAACAUCAGUGGCGAAGGCGGCCUUCUGGACCAGUACUGACGCCGAGGCACGAAAGCGUGGGGAGCAAACAGG
rnacentral:rRNA from 1 species